CGGGGGGGGCAAGCGUUGUUCGGAAUUACUGGGCGUAAAGGGCUCGUAGGCGGCCAACUAAGUCAGACGUGAAAUCCCCAGGCUCAACCUGGGAACUGCGUCUGAUACUGGUUGGCUUGAAUCCGGGAGAGGGAUGCAGAAUUCCAGGUGUAGCGGUGAGAUGCGUAGAUAUCUGGAGGAAUACCGGUGGCGAAGGCGGCAUCCUGGACCGGCAUUGACGCUGAUGGGCGAAAGCCAGGGGAGCAAACGGGAUUAGAUACCCCGGUAGUCCUGGCCCUAAACGAUGAAUGCUUGGUGUAACGGGUAUCGAUCCCUGUUGUGCCGAAGCUAACGCAUUAAGCAUUCCGCCUGGGGAGUACGGUCGCAAGGCUG
rnacentral:rRNA from 1 species